CCUGACGGUAGUCGUAUGCUCGUCUCCGAGACUAAGCCAUGCAAGUCCAAGUACACGUCCUUGAACGACGGAAACUGCGAACGGCUCAUUAAAUCAGUUGCGAUCUACUCGGCGUUCCGCGCCGCCGGAUAACCGUAGUAAUUCUAGGGCUAAUACGUGCGAAGCGCCCGAAGCCGCGAGGCGACGGGCGUUCUCGCCGGAUGUAGGAACCGACCCGGGGACCGCCGGGGCAACCCGGCGCCCCCGAGACGGGGCGAACCACGGUGAAAUGACGGAUCGUCGGCCCCGCGCCGGCGACUCGCCGAAUGAGUUUCUGACCUAUCAACUCGAGACGGCGGGGUAGAGGCCCGCCGCGGUAACGACGGGUAACGGGGAAUCAGGGUUCGAUUCCGGAGAGGGAGCCCGAGAAACGGCUACCACUUCCAAGGAAGGCAGCAGGCGCGCAACUUACCCUAAUCUCGAUUCGAGGAG
rnacentral:rRNA from 1 species